CGCGUCCCCAGGGCUGGUUCCAUCCCAUCCGCCUGCGCGGGGGCCGUCGUGGCUCCCGGGGCCCCAGUACCUGGGCAAGGGCCCUGGGCGCGUGGUUGGGAGUCCCCCGCCGCCCCGGGAGACGGGAGACUAAUGGGUGUUGUUGACGAGGCCAGGCACGCAGGCGGAGAAGAGCUGCCACUUGCCCCUCGCUCUCCAGGUGGACUCUGCGGUUUUUACCCCACGGCACAAAGUAGCCAGAAUACAAAAACUUCCUGUUUGCCACCCAGGCCUUCUCCAGCUACUGAGAACUUGUUCCGGUGAUGGAGCCUCAAAGGAAUUUGUGGAUUCCUCUCCCACAAGUGUCCAGGGGCAGGGGUGCUGUGAGAAUGUGCAGUUCACAAAGGGAGUGAGAAUGGCAGUCAAAAGAUGUAUAGAGUUAAGGGAAAGAAGAAAAGACUGAGUGAGCCAACGUAUUUGCUUACUAUUUCUCCUAAUAGAAAACUUUUGGUAAAGGCUUGAUAGCAACUCUAAAGAGUUGAUCUUGGGAAACCCAGCCACCAUAUUGUAGGCAGUCCUGUGAAAAGGCACAUGUGAACGAUCUCGGAAGUGGAGCUUCUGAGGCUUGCCAACAGCCACAUGACUGAGCUCAAAAGUGGAUACUUCAGAGACUCCAGCCCUGGCUGAUAGCAGAACUGCAACCCCAUGAGUGACUUUGAGCCAGAACCAUCCAGCUAAGUAACACCCAGAUUCCUGAGCCACAGGAACUAUUUGAGGUAAUAAAUAUUUGUUGUUUCCAGCCACUAAGUUUUGUGAUAAUUUGUUACACAGUAAUAAAUAUUAGAACAUCGAGUA
rnacentral:lncRNA from 1 species